rnacentral:rRNA from 1 species
GACGAACGCUGGCGGCGUGCUUAACACAUGCCAGUCGAACGCUGAAGCUCAGCUUUUGUUGGGUGGAUGAGUGGCGAACGGGUGAGUAACACGUGAGUAACCUGCCUCCUUCUUUGGGAUAACGCCCGGAAACGGGUGCUAAUACUGGAUAUUCACUGGUCUUCGCAUGGGGGUUGGUGGAAAGGGUUUUUCUGGUGGGGGAUGGGCUCGCGGCCUAUCAGCUUGUUGGUGGGGUGAUGGCCUACCAAGGCUUUGACGGGUAGCCGGCCUGAGAGGGUGACCGGUCACAUUGGGACUGAGGUACGGCCCAGACUCCUACGGGAGGCAGCAGUGGGGAAUAUUGCACAAUGGGCGCAAGCCUGAUGCAGCGACGCCGCGUGAGGGAUGGAGGCCUUCGGGUUGUGAACCUCUUUCGCUCAUGGUCAAGCCGCAACAAUGGUUGUGGUGAGGGUAGUGGGUAAAGAAGCGCCGGCUAACUACGUG